UACGUAGGUGGUAAGCGUUGUCCGGAAUUAUUGGGCGUAAAGCGCGCGCAGGUGGUUUAUUAAGUCUGAUGUAAAAGCCCACGGCUCAACCGUGGAAGGUCAUUUGAAACUGUUAAACUUGAGUGCAGGAGAGAGAAGUGGAAUUCCUAGUGUAGCGGUGAUAUGCGUAGAGAUUAGGAGGAACACCAGUGGCGAAGGCGGCUUUUUGGCCUGCAACUGACACUGAGGCGCGAAAGCGUGGGGAGCAAACAGG
rnacentral:rRNA from 1 species